rnacentral:lncRNA from 1 species
GGGGAGGGGGACAGCGAUAUCCCGGAUGGUGCUAGGGGAACAGAUACCCCUCAGAGAUAAAAAGCCUAACGAGACACUUGAUGCAUUAUGCAUGUCAGUAUAGAUACAUACUUCGGACCAUUCAUGUUUCAUUCCACUUUAUCUUUUUUUUUUGUUUCUUUUAACUUUCUAGAUAACAAUACCGAGUUCAUAUUAAUUUUUAUUACAUGCAAAACAUCAAGUGUUUAU